CGUGCGCGAGGUCGGUUUUGUAAGUCUGUCGUGAAAAGCCCCCGGGCUCAACCUGGGAAUUGCGAUGGAGACUGCAAGGCUUGAAUCUGGCAGAGGGGGGUAGAAUUCCACGUGUAGCAGUGAAAUGCGUAGAGAUGUGGAGGAACACCGAUGGCGAAGGCAGCCCCCUGGGUCAAGAUUGACGCUCAUGCACGAAAGCGUGGGGAGCAAACAGGAUUAGAUACCCUGGU
rnacentral:rRNA from 1 species